rnacentral:tRNA from 1 species
CUUGUAGUGCCGGAGCAUAAACGGGAUGCCUUGAUGUGGCAUAAACGAUUAAUUAUUAAUCUUACAAGA